AAGAGCAUCCUGUGCAAAAGA
rnacentral:miRNA from 1 species